CAGCCCGGUAAUACAGAGGGUGCGAGCGUUAAUCGGAUUUACUGGGCGUAAAGCGUGCGUAGGCGGCUUCUUAAGUCGGAUGUGAAAUCCCUGAGCUUAACUUAGGAAUUGCAUUCGAUACUGGGAAGCUAGAGUAUGGGAGAGGAUGGUAGAAUUCCAGGUGUAGCGGUGAAAUGCGUAGAGAUCUGGAGGAAUACCGAUGGCGAAGGCAGCCAUCUGGCCUAAUACUGACGCUGAGGUACGAAAGCAUGGGGAGCAAACAGGAUUAGAUACCCCCGUAGUCCCUGUCUCUUAUACACAU
rnacentral:rRNA from 1 species